UCGCGGGACCGGGCCCCUCUGGCACGGCGCGCUGGCCCUUUCGGGCAGCCGCCUUGCGAUGUCGGACCGCAUCG
rfam:Novosphingobium sp. SCN 66-18 ABT11_C0017, whole genome shotgun sequence.